GUGUUGAGUCUCUCAUAAGCUUGUAGAACAUUUAACCAGAGGCCUCACUGGUUAGGGAGGUACCACAAGGUGGUAGUAGACCUCAGUGCAGAGAAUUCAUUUCAGUGCAGGUUGAAUGUGUAAUUUUAGGGCAAAAGCCAGUGCUCUUCCCACUGGUGGUUCAACUGAAGAACUAGACAUGUACUGAGAAAGAGGAAGCACCGGGCAGAAGCAGCCACCUGGCUAGUGAUCACAUUCUACAGCAGAAUUUCAUUGAGAAGAACAAUGAAGGCUUGUGAUCCCACUUUUCUCACAUUCCUGUGGCUGCAGCUGGACUGGGUGAGCCGAGGAGAGAAGGUGGAGCAGCUUCCUUCCACCCUGAGUGUCUGGGAGGGAGACAGCAGUGAGAUCAACUGUACUUAUUCAGACAGUGCCUCAGACUACUUCCAUUGGUAUAAGCAAGAACCUGGAAAGGGUCCCCAGCUCAUUAUUGACAUUCGUUCAAAUUCGGAAAGAAAACAGAACAAAAGACUCACUGUUUUACUGAAUAAGAAAGCCAAACACUUCUCCCUGCACAUCGCAGCCCACCAGCCUGGAGACACAGCCUUCUACUUCUGCGCUGCAAGGAGAGUCUCCUGGAUUUGGCGAUGA